UACGUAGGGGGCUAGCGUUAUCCGGAAUUACUGGGCGUAAAGGGUGCGUAGGUGGUUUCUUAAGUCAGAGGUGAAAGGCUACGGCUCAACCGUAGUAAGCCUUUGAAACUGGGGAACUUGAGUGCGGAAGAGGAGAGUGGAAUUCCUAGUGUAGCGGUGAAAUGCGUAGAUAUUAGGAGGAACACCAGUUGCGAAGGCGGCUCUCUGGACUGUAACUGACACUGAGGCACGAAAGCGUGGGGAGCAAACAGG
rnacentral:rRNA from 1 species